rnacentral:lncRNA from 1 species
UAGAUAGCUUCCCCUAGUAGUGUUUCACCCCUGGCAAUAGACACAAACAACAAUGAUUCAAGUUUAUCAGGUGAUACAUUAAUUUUGAAAGCAAAAGCAUGUGAAACAAGAGAGUGCGAUGCACCAGUGUCAAAUAAAACAUGAGCAAUAUGGUCACAGAUAGUAUACAUACCAUGUACUACAUCGGGGUCAGCGUCGGCAUCCUGCUGGGUAAGGUUGUAAGCUCUACCCUGGAUAGGAGGCCUCCCUUGAUUCUGGUUCCUCGGGCAUUCUCUGGCAUAAUGCUGGGCACUGCCACAAAUGCGACAAGUGUUGUUGAGGCGGUAGCAGGGUCGGUCCCCAUGAUCUCUGCCGUAGUGUUGACAGAUCCCACGUGCUGCCCCUAGAGCCUGAGGAGGGGCCUGGAUGGCUGGUCUGGGCCUCUUAUUUGGUUGGGCAGGCGUAGUAGGUGCUGGCCUGCAGAACGGAGCUGAGGGUCGGGAACUCCCUCCUUGCUAAGGACGGGUGCUGAAGCUUCUUUCCACGAUCUGUGCCUUUGCUAGGACUGCUGAAUAUAUCUUGAGCUCCAUUACUAACAAGUGUUGCCUGAUCUUUGGGUAGAGACCCGACUAGAAUCUCCUGGCCUUUCGGCCCUCAUCCAUCAAUGUCUCUGGGGAGUAUCGGCCUAGCUCUAGGAA